GAGAUCUCAAGCUCUAUACUUUAUAUUGAACUGCCACUGGAUUGAACCUUUAUAUUUUUCAUGUAGUUAAUGAAAUUGUUUUCCGUGAUGCCGUUGGAUCAACAUCUCAGUGUGGAUGGCAAGAAGUUAGAUGAUGAUAGUACUUUGGGCGCUGCGGGCGUGAGGCCUGGGAGUGUAUUAUUAUUGAAAGUUAGUAUUUGUAUUCCCUAUAAGGGCUAUUGAGAAGGCUGAAAUAUCACGGGAACAGUUUAAUUAAACCGUAUUGAGUCUAAAAUAUAGAUCUUGUGACUUUUUAUUAAGGUGGAUGAACCGCAGGACGGAAUCGCGCAAGAAGAGCUAGCUCGAG
rnacentral:lncRNA from 1 species